rnacentral:rRNA from 1 species
AUUACCGAGUGCGGGCCCUCUGGGUCCAACCUCCCAUCCGUGUCUCUUGUACCCNGUUGCUUCGGCGGGCCCGCCUUCAUGGCCGCCGGGGGGCUUCUGCCCCCGGGCCCGCGCCCGCCGGAGACUCCAACAUUGAACACUGUCUGAAGGUUGCAGUCUGAGUUUUCUAUAAGAAAAAUCGUUAAAACUUUCAACAACGGAUCUCUUGGUUCCGGCAUCGAUGAAGAACGCAGCGAAAUGCGAUACGUAAUGUGAAUUGCAGAAUUCAGUGAAUCAUCGAGUCUUUGAACGCACAUUGCGCCCUCUGGUAUUCNGGGGGGCAUGCCUGUCCGAGCGUCAUUGCUGCCCCUCAAGCACGGCUUGUGUGUUGGGCCCCCGUCCCGGUUCUCCAAGCCGGGACGGGCCCGAAAGGCAGCGGCGGCACCGUGUCCGGUCCUCGAGUGUAUGGGGCUCUGUCACUCACUCGUGUAGGUCCGGCCGGCGGCCAGCCUCUUCAACCAUUUUUUAACCAGGUUGACCUCGGAUCAGGUAGGGAUACCCGCUGAACUUAAGCAUAUCAAUAAGCGGAGGAAAAGAAACCAACCGGGAUUGCCUCAGUAACGGCGAGUGAAGCGGCAAAAGCUCAAAUUUGAAAUCUGGCUCCUUCGGGGUCCGAGUUGUAAUUUGUAGAGGAUGCUUCGGGUGCGGCCCCCGUCUAAGUGCUCUGGAAUGGGCCAUCAGAGAGGGUGAGAAUCCCGUCUGGGGCGGGGUGUCCGCGUCCGUGUGAAGCUCCUUCGACGAGUCGAGUUGUUUGGGAAUGCAGCUCUAAAUGGGUGGUAAAUUUCAUCUAAAGCUAAAUAUUGGCCGGAGACCGAUAGCGCACAAGUAGAGUGAUCGAAAGAUGAAAAGCACUUUGAAAAGAGAGUUAAAAAGCACGUGAAAUUGUUGAAAGGGAAGCACUUACGACCAGACUCGCUCACGGGGUUCAGCCGGCUUUCGGGCCGGUGUACUUCCCCGGGAGCGGGCCAGCGUCGGUUUGGGCGGCCGGUUAAAGGCCCCUGGAAUGUAACACCUCUCGGGGUGUCUUAUAGCCAGGGGUGUCAUGCGGCCAGCCCAGACCGAGAACGC